ACAAUGCAUGCAUAAGGUAUAGUGCAUACAUGCAUAGGGCACAGCGCAUGCAUAAAGUAUAGUGCAUACAUACAUAGGGCACAAUGCAUGCAUAAGGUAUAGUGCAUACAUACAUAGGGCACAAUGCAUGCAUAAGGUAUAGUGCAUACAUACAUAGGGCACAAUGCAUGCAUAAGGUAUAGUGCAUACAUACAUAGGGCACAAUGCAUGCAUAAGGUAUAGUGCAUACAUACAUAAGGCACAGCGCAUGCAUAAGGUAUAGUGCAUACAUACAUAAG